AGAAAAAUGGCUGAGUGGUUUAAAGCGAAGAUCUGCUAAAUCUUUGUAUAGAAAAAAUCUAUACCGAGGGUUCGAAUCCCUCUUUUUCUA
rnacentral:tRNA from 1 species